AAGUUAUUUCACCUCUGCAUGCCCCAGAUUUCUCUCCUGUGAAACGGAGAGUUAUUUUUCAGCUGCAUUCUUCACUUAGUGUCAGGAGGCCUAAUGAGAUAAUGUGCCAGAACCGUUUCCCUGAAUCAUCUUCUGGGGAGAAUGGUCUCAUCAUCUUUGUGGAUGACACCAACCUCACUGCCUGCUGCCCCUGUGCACCCUGAAAUCCACUUCCACGCUCUCCAGUGAGAUGUUACUGCACUUUUCUGUGCGAAUUCUGCAAGUUCAUUUUUCCUUGAGAUCUGUGUAUGGCAUGUCUGGCAGCC
rnacentral:lncRNA from 1 species